rnacentral:rRNA from 1 species
CCCUUAGAUGCUCUGGGCUGCACGCGCGCUACACUGACACACGCAACGAGUCUCCUGCCCUGACAGGGUCGGGUAAUCAUUUGAGUGUGUGUCGUGAUGGGGAUAGAGUAUUGCAAUUAUUGCUCUUGAACGAGGAAUUCCUAGUAAGCACAAGUCAGCAGCUUGUGCUGAUUACGUCCCUGCCCUUUGUACACACCGCCCGUCGCUCCUACCGAGGGGGUGAUCCGGUGAAUGAUUCGGACUCUGGUGCUUCUAGCUGCUAGAUGCGCCGGAGGAAGUUUUGUGAACCUUAUCACUUGGAGGAAGGAGAAGUCGUAACA